CUGACUUCCGGGAACCACUAUUGUCUUCACUGUCUCUAGGGUUUUGUCUUUUCCAGACUGUCAUACAGUUGGAAUCAUACCAUCUGUAGUCUUUUCAAGCUGGCUACUUUCAUUUGCACAACUUGUCUAUCCAUUCACCUUCUGAAGGACAUCUUGGUUGUUUCCAGAUUUUGGUAAUUAUAAAUAAAGCUGCUAUAAAGAUCCACCCAUAAGUCUUUGGUUUUCCACCUAAUUUGUACCUGCUACCAUGUCCUGCCCCCACCAAAACAUCACAGAAGUUCCUGCCUUCCCCUUCAUCCCCACGUGAAGAACCUCA